rfam:Schistosoma margrebowiei strain Zambia genome assembly, scaffold: SMRZ_scaffold0000244
GCACUGCUGAAGAGUCCCAAAAUAGGACGAGACGGCCAUCCAGUGC